rnacentral:rRNA from 1 species
GACGAACGCUGGCGGCGUGCUUAACACAUGCAAGUCGAGCGGUAAGGCCCUUUCGGGGGUACACGAGCGGCGAACGGGUGAGUAACACGUGGGUGACCUGCCUUUAGCUCUGGGAUAAGCCUGGGAAACUGGGUCUAAUACCGGAUAUGACUCCAUGAUGCAUGUUGUGGGGUGGAAAGCCUUGUGCGGCUGGAGAUGGGCCCGCGGCCUAUCAGCUUGUUGGUGGGGUGAUGGCCUACCAAGGCGACGACGGGUAGCCGGCCUGAGAGGGCGACCGGCCACACUGGGACUGAGACACGGCCCAGACUCCUACGGGAGGCAGCAGUGGGGAAUCUUGCGCAAUGGGCGAAAGCCUGACGCAGCGACGCCGCGUGAGGGAUGACGGCCUCGGU